rnacentral:rRNA from 1 species
CCUACGGGUGGCACCAGUGGGGAAUCUUGCGCAAUGGCCUAACGGCUGACGCAGCGACGCCGCGUGUGGGAUGAAGCUCUUCGGAGUGUAAACCACUGUUGCCCGGGACGAAUAGCUCGAUUAAUCGAGCCUGACGGUACCGGGUGAGGAAGCACCGGCUAACUCCGUGUCAGCAGCCGCGGUAAUACGGGGGGUGCGAGCGUUGUCCGGAAUCACUGGGCGUAAAGGGCGCGUAGGUGGUUUGAUAAGGGUGUGGUGAAAGCCCGGAGCUCAACUCCGGGUCUGCCGUGCCGACUGUCAAACUCGAGGACUGUAGAGGCAGACGGAAUUCCGGGUGUAGCGGUGGAAUGCGUAGAGAUCCGGAGGAAGACCGGUGGCGAAGGCGGUCUGCUGGGCAGUUUCUGACACUGAGGCGCGACAGCGUGGGGAGCAAACAGGAUUAGAUACCCGCGUAGUC